rnacentral:rRNA from 1 species
AACGAACGCUGGCGGCAGGCUUAACACAUGCAAGUCGAGCGCCCCGCAGGGGAGCGGCAGACGGGUGAGUAACGCGUGGGAACGUACCCUUUGCUACGGAAUAGCUCCGGGAAACUGGAAUUAAUACCGUAUGUGCCCUUCGGGGGAAAGAUUUAUCGGCAAAGGAUCGGCCCGCGUUGGAUUAGCUAGUUGGUGGGGUAAUGGCCUACCAAGGCGACGAUCCAUAGCUGGUCUGAGAGGAUGAUCAGCCACAUUGGGACUGAGACACGGCCCAAACUCCUACGGGAGGCAGCAGUGGGGAAUAUUGGACAAUGGGCGCAAGCCUGAUCCAGCCAUGCCGCGUGAGUGAUGAAGGCCUUAGGGUUGUAAAGCUCUUUCACCGGAGAAGAUAAUGACGGUAUCCGGAGAAGAAGCCCCGGCUAACUUCGUGCCAGCCGCCGCCGUAAAAC